rnacentral:lncRNA from 1 species
UCCUAAUUAACUUUCUCUUCUUUGUAACCACUUUUAAUUUCUUAGGAUCUGAAAUAAAGGGCUUACAGCUCUGUGGUGUGGCUUUUACAUAAAUUUUCCUUUACGUUACAUCAGGUUUUUUCACUCCUUCCUCUUAGGUUACUGGGGUUUAAAAUGGCCUUCAGGAAGACUCUAUUAUUUUUCCACUUUGGCCCCUCCCUCUGCCAAAAGCACCUUGUGAAAAGUGAGUUCCUCAAAUAAGAAGAUCUACAUUGUGUGUAAUCUUAGUGGGGCUGCCAUUCCUGGUGACUACAUUCCAUUACCAAAGCCGAAGGAAACAGAUCCUUGCCCUCCUUGACUCUGCAGGACCAGGGGCCAGGUAUGUGACCCAAUAUCAGUCAUCAGAUGCUCUUUCUGGGGCUCAGACUGUUGAGCUGUUGACAGGCAGACAGCAGGAAAAUGUGGAAGUUAUUUCCACAGGGAUGGUAUGCACUUUUCACUAUCUUGCUUUAAGAAAAUUGCCUGGGUUCCUAAUGGCCAAUCCCCCAGAUCCCUCUUGAUUCCUGCCCAUUUCCAGGUCUGAUUGUCCUAGCUCCCAUCACUCUGAGCAUCCCAACAGUCUUCCAAUAAUUUCCUUCUGCUUCAGUUAGUCCAAAUCAAUAUCUGUGGCCUUGUCUGCUUACAAGUUUAUAAAACCACUAAAUAUCCAACUAGUGUGGUGGCAUAAAAGGAGACUAUCCACCCCUCCACCCCAUUAUCAGAGAAUAAACUUGAGGAUUAAAGAGAAACAUUUAAAUCCUAGCUUUAGUUAACCAGGUUGCUUAAGUAGAGCCAUGUGCCGUUAAUGUGAGGGUCCUUUGAAAUGGAAACCAGAAAAAGGAAAGGACAAAUGUCAAUAGGAAGAUUAGAUGUUUCUAAUGUAGAUUAGAUUGCAGAGUGAUGGAACGAAAAUUAAUCCUCAAUUAAUCCUCAUAAUGGCACAUUGAUUUGUGGUACUUUAGGGGGAAACCAGCUGCAGCUGGAAAGCACUCAGUGGACUCCCCCUGUUCUUCAGUCUUUACAGAAUCUCUCUCCCUGAAGAGACAAAUGGAGACAAAAAAGCAGAAAGAAUACAUGUGUACAUCCAGUGGCUAUAUUAAGCAAGAAAAUCUAUGAAAUGCAAAAGAAACUAGGGGCUGAAACUUUAUUCGGAGGGCUAAAGGGUGGUUUGUGUAAAAGAAACGGAGAAUUGCUCCUGAGAUAGCCUGUCAUCUGAUGGCUUAUGAGGUGAGGUUCUGCCUUCCUCUUGCUUAGAGGUGGGGAGAGACUAGACCAAAAGCUGAAUGCCUGAUCUCUGCCUAUGGACUCCAAGUGACUCAGGAAUGUUCACUUGACUCUUUAGUAAAGAACAGCUUGAAGCUCUAUAAAGGUCUAGUUUGUACACAGAGAAAACAACCUAUUUGGAUCAGGGAAGCAGAACCCCACUCCAUAUGGCUGCUGACUGGCCUCCCCCUCACUGUGGCUCACUAUAGAGGAGAAGUGUCAGUAGCUGGAGAGAUUGUAAGGCUGAUUCCCUUUCUGACUCCCUGGGAUAUCCCUUUCUCAGAAAUACAGAGAAACUGUCAACGAAAGAGUUGACACUAGAAAAUAAGUAGGGCAUACCCAAGGGCAUACUCAGUCACUGUGUCAGAGGCGUUUGAACCAGAGUGACUCCAUUUUGAGUGAGGGCUAGGAAAAUAAGACUGGGACUUGCUGGGCUGCAUUCUCAGAAAAUGAGGCAUUCCUAGCCUCUAAAUGUUUACGGUUAAGGGAACAAAUUAAUAAUGUUUCCUAAACAGACCCAGACUUGGGAGUGUCCAGAUAUCCUGAUAUCUGGAGAAGAAAGGCAUUCCUGAUUUUGCUUUAAAGAUAAUAGUAUCAAUUCUUGCAAAAUAUAGUAAUUAAGAAAAUUAAUCCUUUAUC